rnacentral:rRNA from 1 species
AGAGUUUGAUCCUGGCUCAGGAUGAACGCUGGCGGCGUGCUCAACAUAUGCAAGUCGAACGGGAAAUAUUUCAUUGAUACUUCGGGGGAUUUGAUCUAUUUCUAGGGGCGGACGGGUGAGUAACGCGUGGGGAACCUGCCUUAUACAGGGGGAUAACAGUCAGAAAUGGCUGCUAAUACCGCAUAAGCGCACAGAGCUGCAUGGCUCAGUGUGAAAAACUCCGGUGGUAUAAGAUGGACCCGCGUUGGAUUAGCUAGUUGGUGGGGUAACGGCCCACCAAGGCGACGAUCCAUAGCCGGCCUGAGAGGGUGACCGGCCACAUUGGGACUGAGACGCGGCCCAGACUCCUACGGGAGGCAGCAGUGGGGAAUAUUGCACAAUGGGGGAAACCCUGAUGCAGCGACGCCGCGUGAAGGAAGAAGUAUCUCGGUAUGUAAACUUCUAUCAGCAGGGAAGAUAGUGACGGUACCUGACUAAGAAGCCCCGGCUAAAUACGUGCCAGCAGCCGCGGUAAUACGUAGGGGGCAAGCGUUAUCCGGAUUUACUGGGUGUAAAGGGAGCGUAGACGGUGUGGCAAGUCUGAUGUGAAAGGCAUGGGCUCAACCUGUGGACUGCAUUGGAAACUGUCAUACUUGAGUGUCGGAGGGGUAAGCGGAAUUCCUAGUGUAGCGGUGAAAUGCGUAGAUAUUAGGAGGAACACCAGUGGCGAAGGCGGCUUACUGGACGGUAACUGACGUUGAGGCUCGAAAGCGUGGGGAGCAAACAGGAUUAGAUACCCUGGUAGUCCACGCCGUAAACGAUG